UAUAUAUAUAUAUAUAUAUAUAUAGGCUGGGGCUACUAUACUCAUAUGAGUAUAGAGCCUAUUGUACUCAUAAGUUUUCAACCGUUCAGAUGAAAAAAUGUAUGGUUAGGAUGAAGUGAUUAUGGUUAGGUUGAUAGUGGGCCCCCUAGGGUUGAGUGGGUGGUUGGUUGAAUAGUAUAAUCUAACGGGUGAAAAUGAUUAAAGGGUAGAUCUAACAGCCAAAAAUUUAUGAGUACAAUAGGCUCUAUACUCAUAAAAGUAUAGUAGCCGGACUCUAUAUAUAUAUAUAUAUAUAUAUAUAUAUAUAAUUGAGCUAGAAUAUUUUUAGAAGUAUCAUCUCAUUGGUACUUCUAAGUUUCUAAUCCUUGGAUCUAUUUCUUGAUUAUUAAUAGCCUUUGAAUCAAAUACUAUUCUACUUAUCACCACUACCAUCAUCAUCUUAAUUUUAUAUCUCUCCAUUUAAAAACUAAAAACUCAAAAGUACCAACCCAUUAGUAUUUUUGGGUUAUAUAUAGAGAGAGAGAGAGAGUA
rnacentral:lncRNA from 1 species